rnacentral:tRNA from 1 species
AGCGGUGUGGCUUAGUGGGUAGAGCAUAGGCCUGGAAGUCUGAAGAACCCGAGUUCUAAUCCCUGCUCUGCCU